rnacentral:rRNA from 1 species
GACGAACGCUGGCGGCGUGCUUAACACAUGCAAGUCGAACGGAAAGGCCCUGCUUUUGUGGGGUGCUCGAUUGGCGAACGGGUGAGUAACACGUGUGUAACCUGCCCUUGACUUUGGGAUAACUUCAGGAAACUGGGGCUAAUACCGGAUAGGAGCUCCUGCUGCUUGGUGGGGGUUGGUAAGUUUCGGCGGUUGGGGAUGGACUCGCGGCUUAUCAGCUUGUUGGUGGGGUAGUGGCUUACCAAGGCUUUGACGGGUAGCCGGCCUGAGAGGGUGACCGGCCACAUUGGGACUGAGAUACGGCACAGACUCCUACGGGAGGCAGCAGUGGGGAAUAUUGCACAAUGGGCGGAAGCCUGAUGCAGCAACGCCGCGUGCGGGAUGACGGCCUUCGGGUUGUAAACCGCUUUCGCCUGUGACGAAGCGUGAGUGACGGUAAUGGGUAAAGAAGCACCGGCUAACUACGUG